UUUCAAAUUAACUUUAAUAACAGUAAUGGUUUUGUACUUUUAAAGAUAUUGAAACGCUAAAAAUACAAUUCAAAAGUAAAUUAGCGCUAUUGUGUGUUAAGCAUUAACACUUUGUAUUUAUGGUUGAUGGUUGAUGACCUUAAUGUACUUACUUCAAGCACAGAAUAAGUUAGUACUUUGCAUAGCUUUUCAUGUUCGCCAUUCAGCAACGGUAUAUUUAUCGGAACUUCUCUGUUUAACACCUUCUCGGAAUUGAAGAUUUAUUUUCUUUGCGAAAAGAAUUCGAAAAUAUUAGAAUAAGUUAUUGUCUACUGGCACAAACACAAGAGGUGGUAAUUCAAUAAACCAUGUUAAGGGUUAACACAUAAUAUAAAUUACAACAUCACUAAACGAUUAGAUGAAAUAUGUAUUAUGUAUCCAGUCGAACAUGCAUUGCAGUAUAAUAAUAAAUUAAUAAAAUUUC